UACGAAGGGGGCUAGCGUUGCUCGGAAUCACUGGGCGUAAAGCGCACGUAGGCGGCUUUUUAAGUCAGGGGUGAAAUCCUGGAGCUCAACUCCAGAACUGCCUUUGAUACUGAGAAGCUUGAGUCCGGGAGAGGUGAGUGGAACUGCGAGUGUAGAGGUGAAAUUCGUAGAUAUUCGCAAGAACACCAGUGGCGAAGGCGGCUCACUGGCCCGGUUCUGACACUGAGGAGCGAAAGCGUGGGGAGCGAUCCGG
rnacentral:rRNA from 1 species